UCUUAAUGUAUACGAGUUUUUGAACGUAAAGGAGCAAUAAUUAAUUUAUUGUUCUAUCAAGAGGGUUAAUAUUGCUCCUUUACUUUUUAGUAGUUUCAUACAUCAAUUUUGUAUUUACUUCAACAUUCUUUACGGUUGUUUUAAGAUAAGAAAAAAUAUUGGAGUUUCAUACUUUUUGUUUCUUUUUUACUAAUUGAUUUUAUACGUUUUUCUCGGCAAUCUUUUGAAAUGAAAAAAAAAAUGAAAAAUGAAUGUUUUAAUUCUAGUCUAUUGUAUCUUAGAAGACAAGUAAAAACUU
rnacentral:misc_RNA from 1 species